GACAAUUGGGCUGCCAUCGAAUGGCCAGCAAGUCCUACCAUACCUCCUUACACCGUAGUGACCAUAGGACAAAAUAGGACCAAGACCAAUAGUGAAAAAGUGUCUUUUUAUUGAUAAUGAACAAUAAUAUACAGACUUCCGAUGAAUUAACUUGAUCUUUAUUGAAAGUAUUUCCGAAGCCUGCCAGCGUGCCAAGUGUUUUUGAUUUCGGAACCAUCUAAUGCCCUUAACCGGUAAGUGCCUGGUUUGGAUACUUCGAUCACCUCAUAUGGUCCUUCCCAGUUUGGCAUUAACUUUCCCGUAUUUUGAGGUGUAGAAGCUUCGGCUUCUCUGAGGACGAAGUCUCCUACUUCGAAUCUGCGAAGUUUGACUCCUUUGUUGUAAUGCUUCGCUACUCUUCGUUGAUAAGCAGCCAAUUUAAGUAGAGCAACCUCUCUAACUUCU
rnacentral:lncRNA from 1 species